AACGAACGCUGGCGGCAUGCCUAACACAUGCAAGUCGAACGAGACCUUCGGGUCUAGUGGCGCACGGGUGCGUAACGCGUGGGAACCUUCCCUUAGGUUCGGAAUAACUCCCCGAAUGGGGUGCUAAUACCGGAUAAUGUCUUCGGACCAAAGAUUUAUCGCCUUUGGAUGGGCCCGCGUUGGAUUAGCUCGUUGGUAGGGUAAAAGCAUACCAAGGCGACGAUCCAUAGCUGGUUUGAGAGGAUGAUCAGCCACACUGGGACUGAGACACAGCCCAGACUCCUACGGGAGGCAGCAGUGGGGAAUAUUGGACAAUGGGCGAAAGCCUGAUCCAGCAAGGCCGCGUGAGUGAUGAAGGCAUUAGGGUUGUAAAGCUCUUUUACCCGGGAUGAUAAUGACAGUACCGGGAGAAUAAGCUCCGGCUAACUCCGUG
rnacentral:rRNA from 1 species